UUGUGCACAAAUCUUAGUAGAUACAGAAUAAAAUAAUUGUAAAGCACAAUAUUAAGGAACGUUAAGUUAAACGUCAAUUUGUACUUGACAUUUUUGUAAAUUGACUUUGACUUCUCGUCUCUCUCAUCUGCGAGGUCUGUCUGUAAAGAUAACAAAAGUGUAGGAGUUUUUGCUUUUUUCAUUGUGAAAUCGUGGGAGUGAUAAGUUGAUAUAAUAUAAACACUAAACAGCGUCACAUUAAUCGCCCGUACAAAAAUAAUUGCGUGGAAUUUGGUGCGUUCUUGUCACCAAUUCUGCCGAUUAAUGCAAAACGAUGACAACAAAACCAGAUGUGAAUGACGACGAGUCAUUUAUAAUCCUCGGUUCUUCCCCUGGCACCAGUCUGGAUUUGAAGUGUAACGGGAUGGAUGCCCCGUCAUUGGAUCGUCUCGUGCUUGACGAUGCUAUUAAGGACCUCCCAGCCGAGGCAAGUACGGCAUUCAAGGCUCAUUUUCAACUUGAUAGUGGGCCGUCUCCAGCCAGUCUCAUGAUAGCGAGCACGAUGAUCACAGACUACAAAAGCACGGAAGAACUACAGAAGCAGUUCGGCGAACUUCUCGAUGAGAAUGUGAUUUUGAAGGAAACUUUGAAGAAGAACAACGAGAGCAUGAAAGAACAGUUCCUGCUGAUAGCGUCGUGCCAGGAGGACAUGAUGAAGACUCAUGUCAUGCACAAGGAGAAGUUUGAUGAGACCAGGGAGUUGGUGGAGAAGUUACGCCAAGAAAACAAGAAACUGAAGAGCGACAUCGCUCGAUUAGCGGAGUCUGAGCCUUCGCGGUCGAUCCCUGAGGGCUCCUCAGGGCAGUCGACCUCAGGGCCCACGUCGGCUUUGGAGUUCGUGACGUCUCCUGAUGACGACACUAUCAAUAAACUCACCGCGCAGUUGGAACUCGUUGAGAAGCAGAGGCGACAGGUGAUAGUAGAGAAUGAAAAGCUGACAUGGCAGAAGGAAUCCUUAGAACAUAUUGUCGACGCGACUACCAAAGAACGAGAUGAGCUCAAAGACAAAGUAAAGGCAUUGGAAUUGCAACUAUCGAACAUAGAAAGCGAACACACACACAAAAUAAAUCUUCUAAACUACACAAUACAAGAUUUAAAUAAUAAACUGGAAACUGCGAAAACAUCUAUACCUACUGCAUCGCCAGAGGAGUUGGGUAAGCGAGAUGACGUUAUAAAACAGUUGGAAGGCAAGAUUUGCGGCUUACAGAACGAUCUCAAACAGGCACAGUUGAAGAUUCUCGAAUUGGAAACCGUCAAGCUCGAAUUUUCGAAGCACAAGUCUGGAGCAGCGGACACUGUGAAAUUGUACAAAGACCAAAUACAAGAGUUGCACAACAGACUUAAGGAGGCUCAGACAACGGUGUUCCAGCCAGUGCGUUGCUCGGUCAGUAUGGAAGGCGACUCCGGCAGUAGUGAAUACGGCGCCUUCAUGGGUAACGUCAAGUUGUACGACAAGACGCUCAAACACCUCGCUGAGCUGCUCAACCUAAUCAUACAUGGGAAUUUAAGCCUCCUCGUUCACUUACAAGAGUGUAGGUUCGAGCGAAGCAACACAGAAGUUCUGCGCGCGAGUUUGACCGACCUGCGUCAACGAGUGGACUCCCAACACGCCGCCGCUACUUCUAACGUAGCCCAAGUGAAAGGCGCACUGUCGAUAUUCGAAGGAAUAUUCAAAGAUUAUAACGAACUACUGAAGAAGUGUUUGAACAAACAAGAGCCUAAACCAGCGCCAUCAGUGGAACAGCUGACCGCAGCGCUGGUCGCGAGGGGCCAGGAGUUACAGGACCUCCAAUGCGAGCUGGCUUCACUCAAAGUUGAUAAAGAGGAGAAACAGCUGCUGCAGGCACAACUGGAGCUGUACAAGAGUGACUUCGAAGCUGAGCGCGAAGCUCGGGAGAAGAUGGCGAGUGAGAAGGAAACCACGCUCACUGACUUGCGGACCACGCUGAGGAGGAAUCAGGAGCUUGUUAUGCAGCUGGAAGAAGUCCGCAAGUUGAAUCCAAACAUCUUCCGAAGCGCCACCGCUAAGAGAUUGCAGCCGAACGUAACAUCUCAGCCCACGGGGGGGUCCACAUCAGGGCCCACGAGGGCCACGGGGGGGUCACAGGAGCCCCCCGGCUCGCGGAGGCAGGCCGCACCUGGCAACACUGCUACUGGCAAUAUGGUCCGCAAAAAGCAGAAGGUGGAUAACUCAGAAGAUCGCGAGAAGACACCGCCGCCACUGCGAUAUGAUUGCCCAGUAUGCGACAAACCGUUCAAGACAUUACUCCUACUACAGCAACAUGUUGACAGUUGUUUAUUGUAAAUAAGAGACUUGUCUACGAAUGGACUAGCAUUGUUAACAUACAUAAAACAUAAAUAGCCUAUAUACGUCCUACUACUGGGCAUAGAUCUCCCCUCUUUUAACUGGAAGGGGUAUAGAUCCUAGCAAUGUUAUUGCUGUUUAAUUAUCUAACAUUCAGACUGAAUGGGUUACGCAUCACGCGCGGCGCGACAAUUAUCGCGGGCUUCGACCAAUAGAUAGUUAGAUACAUAGACAAAAUCUUUAUUUAGGUUACAAUGGUUGCGCGAUUGCGUCUAUUAGUCAGAACACGCGAUAUAUAUCGCACUUCACGCGAUAGCGAUACCCGUGCCGACUUGGCUGGAGUAACAGCUAGCAGUAUUUUACAGAAGUGUGAGGGGAUUGCUAGGCCGGUUGUCAAUGCGGCCUAGCAAUCCGAAGGAAAAGUCUCCAAUAGAUUGUCACAUGCCUCCGAAAAUAGUUGUUUUCACACUGUUUUCCAUAACUGUUAAGAAUGUUUAAAUACCUAUCAUUUACAUAACGCCAAUUCAAGCGUCGGGUUCAUGAAUACCCCCGAAGGGGGAUAGCGUUGACAGAUUCAAAUUAAAUUCAAAUUUAAAAGUAUCUUUAUUCUGUAGGUAACAAAGUUACACUUUGAAACGUCAAUUAAGAGGUGUACAGUAGAUACGCACACUGCUCGCCAGGAUGCAGGCAUGUUUAAGGGUGGUAUUGAUACUAAUCUCAGCUUCGAGACUGCCCUCAAGUGACUGUGACAGUUCUUAUAUAAAAACAGGGACCUAAGCAUGAUCAUGGUAAGCAUGAUGAUGGCAACAGCCUCCGUGGUCUAGCGGUUAGAGCGUUAGGCUCAAGAUCUUGAGGUCCGGGUUCGAUUCCCGAUGGGGACAUUGUCGAAAUCACUUUGUGAGACUGUCCUUUGUUUGGUAAGGACUUUCCAGGCUUGAAUCACCUGAUUGUCCGAAAAAGUAAGAAGAUUCCGUGCUUCGGAGGGC